GAGUUUGAUCGUGGCUCAGGAUGAACGCUGGCUGUGUGCCUAAUACAUGCAUGUCGAACGAAGCACUUGUGCUUAGUGGCAAAUGGGUGAGUAACACGUACUUAAUCUACCUUUAAGAUUGGAAUAACAUUUGGAAACAACUGCUAAUACCAAAUAUGUAAUCAUUUCGCAUGAAUUGAUUAUAAAAGAAGCGUUUGCUUCGCUUAGAGAUGAGAGUGCGUUACAUUAGAUAGUUGGUAAGGUAAUGGCUUACCAAGUCAAUGAUGUAUAGCGGGGUCGGAGAGGCUGAACCGCCACACUGGGACUGAGAUACGGCCCAGACUCCUACGGGAGGCAGCAGUAGGGAAUAUUCCACAAUGAACGAAAGUUUGAUGGAGCGACACAGUGUGCAGGAUGACGGUCUUAGGAUUGUAACUGCUGUUAUAAGAGAAGAACAAGCUUGAUAGGAAUGAUCGAGCCCUGACGGUACCUUAUCAGAAAGCACCGGCC
rnacentral:rRNA from 1 species